rnacentral:miRNA from 1 species
GGGGUACACCCCCUGCGACAUUGGGAGUAAUAUCAUUUCCCCCUUGGAUAGUACAAGCCAUAUCACAGAGGGGGUACACCC